rnacentral:SRP_RNA from 1 species
AGCCGGGUCCUGUGCAACAAAGGGUUACAAACUCCGUCAGGUCCGGGAGGAAGCAGCGGUAGUAAUCAUUUGUGUGCCGCAGGGAUGCCUGGCUAUC